rnacentral:lncRNA from 1 species
AGUGGCUUAUAAAGGCAGCGUUGAAGCCAUUGUGGUCAAGUGUGCAGUUCACUAUCUUACGGAUUCGAAGUAAGAGGAACGUCUUAUUCAUUACAUUCUAACUAUACAUAACUCUGCAAUUUACAAGACUCAAGUAAACAUACGCAUAUGCGGUUCCUCGCUCUGUUCCUUCUGCUGGCGCUCGCCUUCGCCUUCGCCGCCGCCAAGACCUUGCCUUGCUGUUUCGGCGGAGGUCACCACGGUCAUCACGGAGGUCAUCAUGGGGGUCAUCAUGGAGGUCAUCAUGGGGGUCACCAUGGAGGUCAUUUUGGGUGAUUUAGUGGCGCCUUCUGUGACUGUGACUGGACCGGGAAAUUAAACGACCAUCCUGCAGCAUGACAAAUAAAGCUUUUCUGAAGAUUA